GACGAACGCUGGCGGCGUGCCUAAUACAUGCAAGUCGAACGCAUUUUCUUUCACCGUAGCUUGCUACACCGAAAGAAAAUGAGUGGCGAACGGGUGAGUAACACGUUGGUAACCUGCCCAUCAGCGGGGGAUAACACUUGGAAACAGGUGCUAAUACCGCAUAAUUCCAUUUACUGCAUGGUAGAUGGAUGAAAGGCGCUUUUGCGUCACUGAUGGAUGGACUCGCGGUGCAUUAGCUAGUUGGUGGGGUAACGGCCUACCAAGGCUGCGAUGCAUAGCCGACAUGGGAGGGUGAUCAGCCACACUGGGACUGAGACACGGCCCAGACUCCUACGGGAAGCAGCAGUAGGGAAACUUCGGCAAUGGGCGCAAGUCUGACCGAGCAACGCCGCGGGAGUGAAGAAGGUUGUCGGGUCGUAAAACUCUGUUGUUAGAAAAGAACAAGGAUGAGAGUGGAAAGUUCAUCCCUUGACGGUAUCUAAACAGAAAGCCACGGCUAACUACGUG
rnacentral:rRNA from 1 species